UUUUGUAGAAGAAAAGUUGAAAAAGAUAAGAUUUUUGAUAAAGGGUAUGUGUCAAAGUUAAUCAUUUCAGCUAUCAAAGAAUCUUGAUUUAAGAAGCAUUGGUGUUAUAGAGUAAGCAUUUGGACACCCAAUGAUCAACAUUCUUGAUUUUUCUUUCAGUUGUGAUAUUUUUUUAGCUCAGUAUGUAGAAGAAAAGUUGAAAAAGAUAAGAUUUUUGAUAAAGGGUAUGUGUCUAAAUGAACUGUUUAAGCUAUCUAUGAAUCUUGAUUUAAGAAUCAUUGGUGUUAUAGAGUAAGCAUUUGGACACCCAAUGAUCAAGAUUCUUGAUUUUUCUUUCAGUUGUGAUAUUUUUUUAGCUCAGUAUGUAGAAGAAAAGUUGAAAAAGAUAAGAUUUUUAAUAAAGGGUAUGUGUCUAAGUGAACUGUUUAAGCUAUCUAUGAAUCUUGAUUUACGAAGCAUUGGUGUUAUAAAGUAAGCAUUUGGACACCCAAUGAUCAAGAUUCUUGAUUUUUCUUUCAGUUGUGAUAUUUUUUUUAGCUCAGUAUGUAGAAGAAAAGUUGAAAAAGAUAAGAUUUUUAAUAAAGG
rnacentral:lncRNA from 1 species